rnacentral:rRNA from 1 species
UGGGGAAUUUUGCACAAUGGGCGAAAGCCUGAUGCAGCGACGCCGCGUGGAGGAUGAAGGCCUUCGGGUUGUAAACUCCUUUUGCAGGGGAAGAUGAUGACGGUACCCUGCGAAUAAGCCACGGCUAACUCUGUGCCAGCAGCCGCGGUAAGACAGAGGUGGCGAGCGUUGUUCGGAAUUACUGGGCUUAAAGGGCGCGUAGGCGGUGGUACAAGUCUGAGGUGGAAUGCUACGGCUCAACCGUAGAAUUGCCUUGGAAACUGUACUGCUUGAGUUAGACAGGGGAAGGCGGAAUUCCUGGUGUAGCGGUGAAAUGCGUAGAUAUCAGGAGGAAGGCCUGUGGCGAAGGCGGCCUUCUGGGUCUUAACUGACGCUGAGGCGCGAAAGCGUGGGGAGCAAACAGG